AGCUCCAGUAGCGUAUAUUAAAGUUGUUGCAGCUAAAAAGCUCGUAGUUGGAUCUCGGGUCGUUGGUAGGGGUUCAGGUUCAUGCCUGCUUACUCCUGUCAAUACCUAACUGGUGGGACGCUGUGGGUGCCCUUGAUUGGGUCGCCUACUGCACCCGCUCAAUUUACUUUGAAAAAAUUAGAGUGUUCAAGGCAGGCUCACACGCCUGUAUAAUGGUGCAUGGAAUAAUGGAAUAGGGUCUCGGUUCUAUUUUGUUGGUUUUCGGAACUAGAGAUAAUGAUUAAGAGGGACAGACGGGGGCAUUCGUAUUGCGGUGUUAGAGGUGAAAUUCUUGGAUCGCCGCAAGACGAACUACUGCGAAAGCAUUUGCCAAGAAUGUUUUCAUUAAUCAAGAACGAAA
rnacentral:rRNA from 1 species